rnacentral:rRNA from 1 species
ACGCGAAGAACCUUACCUGCCCUUGACAUCCCGGUGACCGCAGGGUAAUGCCUGCUUUCCUUCGGGACACCGGAGACAGGUGGUGCAUGGUUGUCGUCAGCUCGUGUCGUGAGAUGUUGGGUUAAGUCCCGCAACGAGCGCAACCCUUAUCUUUAGUAGCCAGCAUUUAAGGUGGGCACUCUAGAGAGACUGCCAGGGAUAACCUGGAGGAAGGCGGGGAUGACGUCAAAUCAUCAUGCCCCUUAUGGGCAGGGCUACACACGUGCUACAAUGGCGUAAACAAAGGGAAGCGAGACUGCGAAGUUAAGCAAAUCCCAAAAAUAACGUCUCAGUUCGGACUGCAGUCUGCAACUCGACUGCACGAAGCUGGAAUCGCUAGUAAUCGCGAAUCAGAAUGUCGCGGUGAAUACGUUCCCGGGUCUUGUACACACCG